CUUGGAAGAGGCACUAAGAAAAUCCCACACUUCCUGUUGCUCAGCCACAUUGGCAAUUGACAAGAGAUCCUAUAUUUGUAAAACUGAAUGCAAUGCUGAUGAACGAAUGCAUAUUCUGUACUAGACGAAAAUAUCCUCUUAGGAAGCAAAUGCAAUGUGUAAUUAGGAAUAUCCUUCAGGUGACUAUGCAAUCUCUCGAAGUUCCUGUAUCUGCUUAAACGGCACCCAAUAGGAUAUCAGCUAAACAGAGCCAGCGGAAUUUGAGAAAAGAACUUG